rnacentral:rRNA from 1 species
GACGAACGCUGGCGGCGUGCUUAACACAUGCCAGUCGAACGGAAAGGCCCUGCUUUUGUGGGGUGCUCGAGUGGCGAGCGGGUGAGUAACACGUGAGUAACCUGCCCUUGACUUUGGGAUAACUUCAGGAAACUGGGGCUAAUACCGGAUAGGAGCUCCUGCUGCAUGGUGGGGGUUGGAAAGUUUCGGCGGUUGGGGAUGGACUCGCGGCUUAUCAGCUUGUUGGUGGGGUAGUGGCUUACCAAGGCUUUGACGGGUAGCCGGCCUGAGAGGGUGACCGGCCACAUUGGGACUGAGAUACGGCCCAGACUCCUACGGGAGGCAGCAGUGGGGAAUAUUGCACAAUGGGCGGAAGCCUGAUGCAGCAACGCCGCGUGCGGGAUGACGGCCUUCGGGUUGUAAACCGCUUUCGCCUGUGACGAAGCGUGAGUGACGGUAAUGGGUAAAGAAGCACCGGCUAACUACGUG